GCAACCAUAGUGUAGUGGUCAACAUGCUCGCCUUCCAUUGAUGGUUAGCGAGCGGCCCGGGUUCGAGCCCCGGUGGUUGCA
rnacentral:tRNA from 1 species